GACGAACGCUGGCGGCGUGCUUAACACAUGCAAGUCGAACGGAAAGGCCCUGCUUUUGUGGGGUGCUCGAGUGGCGAACGGGUGAGUAACACGUGAGUAACCUGCCCUUGACUUUGGGAUAACUUCAGGAAACUGGGGCUAAUACCGGAUAGGAGCUCCUGCUGCAUGGUGGGGGUUGGAAAGUUUCGGCGGUUGGGGAUGGACUCGCGGCUUAUCAGCUUGUUGGUGGGGUAGUUGCUUACCAAGGCUUUGACGGGUAGCCGGCCUGAGAGGGUGACCGGCCAAAUUGGGACUGAGAUACGGCCCAGACUCCUACGGGAGGCAGCAGUGGGGAAUAUUGCACAAUGGGCGGAAGCCUGAUGCAGCAACGCCGCGUGCGGGAUGACGGCCUUCGGGUUGUAAACCGCUUUCGCCUGUGACGAAGCAUGAGUGACGGUAAUGGGUAAAGAAGCACCGGCUAACUACGUG
rnacentral:rRNA from 1 species